UGAGAGCACUUUUCAUUCCCUAAACUUCAA
rnacentral:piRNA from 1 species